GCCAGGCAUGAUAGCACAUGUCUGUUGUCCUAACACUUGGGAGGCUGAGGUGGGAGGAUCACUUGAGUCUAUGAGUUUGAGACCUGCCUGAGCAACAUAGCAAGGCCCUGUCUCAA
rnacentral:sRNA from 1 species